AUUGAACGCUGGCGGCAGGCCUAACACAUGCAAGUCGAACGAGUGGCGGACGGGUGAGUAAUGUCUGGGAAACUGCCUGAUGGAGGGGGAUAACUACUGGAAACGGUAGCUAAUACCGCAUACCAUCGGAUGUGCCCAGAUGGGAUUAGCUAGUAGGUGGGGUAACGGCUCACCUAGGCGACGAUCCCUAGCUGGUCUGAGAGGAUGACCAGCCACAAUGGAACGGAGACACGGGAUAGACGACUACGUGAGGCAGCAGUGGGGACUGUUGGACAAUGGGCGCAAGCCUGAAGCGGCUAUGCAGGGUGUAGCGAGUGGGCCUUCGGGUUCUAAAGACCAAUUAACAGGGAGGCGAUACCCAAAGAAGAAGCAACGGCUAACGCCGUGCUAGCAGCCGCGGUAAUAC
rnacentral:rRNA from 1 species